rnacentral:rRNA from 1 species
AGAGUUUGAUCCUGGCUCAGGAUGAACGCUGGCGGAAUGUAUUAGGCAUGCAAGUCGUACGAACCUUCGGGUUAGUGGCGAACGGGUGAGUAACACGUGGGUAACCUGCCUCGUAGUGGGGAAUAACUCGCCGAAAGGCGAGCUAAUACCGCAUAACACCCCCGGUGAGAAACCGGGUGGUAAAAGCUCCGGCGCUAUGAGAGGGGCCCGCGGCCGAUUAGCUAGUUGGUGGGGUAAUGGCCUACCAAGGCGACGAUCGGUAGCUGGUCUGAGAGGAUGGUCAGCCACACGGGGACUGAGAUACGGCCCCGACUCCUACGGGAGGCAGCAGCUAAGAAUCUUGCGCAAUGGGCGAAAGCCUGACGCAGCAAUUCCGCGUGGGGGACGAAGGCCCUCGGGUCGUAAACCCCUUUUGCGAGGGAAGAAGUUCUGACGGUACCUCGCGAAUAAGACACGGCUAACUACGUGCCAGCCGCCGCGGUAAUAC